AUUGAACGCUGGCGGCAUGCUUUACACAUGCAAGUCGAACGGUAACAGGUUAAGCUGACGAGUGGCGAACGGGUGAGUAAUGCAUCGGAACGUGCCCGGUCGUGGGGGAUAACGCAGCGAAAGCUGCGCUAAUACCGCAUACGAUCUGAGGAUGAAAGCGGGGGACCGUAAGGCCUCGCGCGAUCGGAGCGGCCGAUGUCAGAUUAGGUAGUGGGUGGGGUAAAGGCUCACCAAGCCGACGAUCUGUAGAUGGUCUGAGAGGACGACCAGCCACACUGGGACUGAGACACGGCCCAGACUCCUACGGGAGGCAGCAGUGGGGAAUUUUGGACAAUGGGCGCAAGCCUGAUCCAGCAAUGCCGCGUGCAGGAAGAAGGCCUUCGGGCUGUAAACUGCUUUUGUACGGAGCGAAAAGGCUCUCUCUAAUACAGGGGGCUCAUGACGGUACCGUAAGAAUAAGCACCGGCUAACUACGUGCCAGCAGCCGCCGUAACAC
rnacentral:rRNA from 1 species